UACGUAGGGUGCAAGCGUUUGUCCGGAAUUAUUGGGCGUAAAGAGCUCGUAGGCGGUCUGUCGCGUCGGCUGUGAAAUCCCGAGGCUCAACCUCGGGUCUGCAGUCGAUACGGGCAAACUAGAGUAUUGCAGGGGAGACUGGAAUUCCUGGUGUAGCGGUGAAAUGCGCAGAUAUCAGGAGGAACACCCGUGGCGAAGGCGGCUCUCUGGGCCGACCCUGACGCUGAGGCGCGAAAGCGUGGGGAGCGAACGGG
rnacentral:rRNA from 1 species